rnacentral:rRNA from 1 species
UACGGGGGGAGCAAGCGUUGUUCGGAUUUACUGGGCGUAAAGGGUGCGUAGGCGGCGGGGUAAGUCUGAUGUGAAAUCCUGGGGCUCAACCCCAGAACUGCAUUGGAUACUGCCUUGCUAGAGUACUGGAGAGGAAACUGGAAUUUACGGUGUAGCAGUGAAAUGCGUAGAGAUCGUAAGGAAGACCAGUGGCGAAGGCGAGUUUCUGGACAGUAACUGACGCUGAGGCACGAAGGCCAGGGGAGCAAACGGG